UACGAGGGGGGCAAGCGUUGUUCGGAAUUACUGGGCGUAAAGGGUGCGUAGGCGGCUUUUUAAGUCUGGUGUGAAAUCUCCCGGCUCAACUGGGAGGGUGCGCCGGAUACUGAGGGGCUAGAGUGUGGGAGAGGAAAGUGGAAUUCCUGGUGUAGCGGUGAAAUGCGUAGAUAUCGGGAGGAACACCUGUGGCGAAAGCGGCUCACUGGACCAUAACUGACGCUGAUGCACGAAAGCUGGGGGAGCAAACAGG
rnacentral:rRNA from 1 species